rnacentral:rRNA from 1 species
AACUUAAAUGAAUUGACGGGGACCCGCACAAGCAGCGGAGCGUGUGGUUUAAUUCGUUGCUACACGAAGAACCUUACCUGGGUUUGACAUAUAGGUUGUAGGGAACUGAAAAGGGACCGACCCUUCGGGAGCCUAUACAGGUGUUGCAUGGCUGUCGUCAGCUCGUGUCGUGAGAUGUUCGGUUAAGUCCGCUAACGAGCGCAACCCUCGUCGUAUGUUAUAUGUGUCAUACGAGACUGCCGGUAAAAGCCGGAGGAAGGUGAGGAUGAUGUCAAGUCAGCAUGACCUUUAUAUCCAGGGCUACACACACGCUACAAUGGUCUGUACAAUGGGUAGCCAAGCCGCGAGGCGGAGCCAAUCCUGAAAGCAGGCCUCAGUUCAGAUUGCAGUCUGCAACUCGACUGCAUGAAGCCGGAGUUGCUAGUAACCGCAGGUCAGCAAUACUGCGGUGAACACGUUCCCGGGUCUU